GAGGUCACACCCGUUCCCAUACCGAACACGGAAGUUAAGCUCUCUAGCGCCGAUGGUAGUUGGGACCUUGUCCCUGUGAGAGUAGGACGUUGCCAGGC
rnacentral:rRNA from 3 species